rfam:Daucus carota subsp. sativus cultivar DH1 chromosome 1, whole genome shotgun sequence.
AGGCAGCCUCUUUUCUGAAUAUAUAAGAAUAGAAAAGAAGGUGUUGUUCUGCUCGUAAAUUAUACAAGGCAGCUUUUGCUCUUCAGAUUUGCUGAGAUUUUAUCAGAUCUUUGAAGCUGGUCUAGUAAGCAUUAGUACAUU